rnacentral:tRNA from 1 species
GGAGAGGUGCCGGAGCGGUUUAACGGGGCGGUCUCGAAAACCGUUGUGCCGAAAGGUACCGGGGGUUCGAAUCCCCCCCUCUCCGCCA